rnacentral:rRNA from 1 species
CACGGGGGGAGCAAGCGUUGUUCGGAAUCACUGGGCGUAAAGGGCGUGUAGGCGGUCAAGUAAGUGGAAUGUGAAAGCCCCCGGCUUACCCGGGGAUCUGCAUCCCAAACUGCUUGGCUUGAGUACGGGAGAGGAUAGGGGAAUUCCUGGUGUAGCGGUGAAAUGCGUAGAUAUCAGGAAGAACAUCGGUGGCGAAGGCGCUCUGCUGGACCAUGACUGACACUCAGGGACGAAAGCUAGGGGAGCGAAUGGG